AUUGAACGCUGGCGGCAGGCCUAACACAUGCAAGUCGAACGAGUGGCGGACGGGUGAGUCAUGUCUGGGAAACUGCCUGAUGGAGGGGGAUACCUACUGGAAACGGUAGCUAAUACCGCAUACCAUCAGAUGUGCCCAGAUGGGAUUAGCUUGUUGGUGGGGUAACGGCUCACCAAGGCGACGAUCCCUAGCUGGUCUGAGAGGAUGCCAAGCCAAACUGGAACGGAGACACGGUCCAGACUCCGAAGGGAGGCAGCAGGGGGGAAUAUUGCACAAUGGGCGAAAGCCUGAUGCAGCCAUGCCGCGUGUAUGAAGAAGGCCUUCGGGUUGUAAAGUACUUUCAGCGGGGAGGCGUUACCCGCAGAAGAAGCACAGGCUAACGCCGUGCCAGCCGCCGCGGUAAUUC
rnacentral:rRNA from 1 species